UACCAGCACCCCGAGUGGGCGGGACGUUUAUUGGGCCUAAAGCAUCCGUAGCCGGUUCUACAAGUCUUCCGUUAAAUCCACCUGCUUAACAGAUGGGCUGCGGAGGAUACUACAAGGCUAGGAGGCGGAAGAGGCAAGCGGUACUCAGUGGGUAGGGGUAAAAUCCUCUGAUCCAUUGAAGACCACCAGUGGCGAAGGCGGCUUGCCAAUACGCGCUCGACGGUGAGGGAUGAAAGCUGGGGGAGCAAACCGG
rnacentral:rRNA from 1 species